UCCGCAGCUGCAUGUCUGCCUCUUUUCACACGGGGAAGAAAACUCGGGCCCAGGCUGCAAGGGAUCAUCACAGCGAGCUUCGCGCCGGAGGGCAUCAAAAUAAAGGGGAGGAGUGACGACAACGCUGGGAAAACAAAGUCCUUCUCCCCACACUGUAUGGACCACGAAUUACCCACAGCUGAAGCGAAACAGUCCCAAGGACAGGGAAAACUUGGAGCCUGAUGUCCACAAUUCCACCUUCCACAAGGAGCUCUAUAUAAAUUCGAGGUGACUGUCUUCUGGGACGUUGUAUUUAGCUUUGUGCUCCUCAAAGAGCUUGCUCAGCUCUUCUAAGUAUUUCUUAUGGACUCGAUCAACCUCUUCCUCCGUUGGCUUGUGCUUCUUCAGCACGGGAAUUGGCUUCCCAACUGGAAAACAAGAGCAACCGUUAGGUCAGGACUCCAUGGACACUUUGCACGUGUUAGCACAGAGAUGGAGUCCCACCUUUCCAAGGAUGUGAAGGACAUACUGCUAUGACCAGUCAUGGUCUGGGAGACAGCAUAGCCAAGGAGGUGGGAAGAUGGAGGUCCAGCCCAGUGCAUCUCCUACAGCUGCUCCUAAUAUCUCAGAUGCUUUUUUCAAGGACAAACCUACAUAGCUUGAUUCCAGCCCCUUCCCAUCUCCCAGAGCCACCAGCA
rnacentral:lncRNA from 1 species